AAGGACUGGUGGAGCGCUUAGAAGUGAGAAUGCCGGUAUGAGUAGCGAAAGAGGGGUGAGAAUCCCCUCCACCGAAUGCCUAAGGUUUCCUGAGGAAGGCUCGUCCGCUCAGGGUUAGUCGGGACCUAAGCCGAGGCCGAAAGGCGUAGGCGAUGGACAACAGGUUGAUAUUCCUGUACCACCUCCUCACCAUUUGAGCAAUGGGGGGACGCAGGAGGAUAGGGUAAGCGCGGUAUUGGAUAUCCGCGUCCAAGCAGUUAGGCUGGGAAAUAGGCAAAUCCGUUUCCCAUAAGGCUGAGCUGUGAUGGCGAGCGAAAUAUAGUAGCGAAGUUCCUGAUUCCACACUGCCAAGAAAAGCCUCUAGCGAGGUGAGAGGUGCCCGUACCGCAAACCGACACAGGUAGGCGAGGAGAGAAUCCUAAGGUGAUCGAGAGAACUCUCGUUAAGGAACUCGGCAAAAUGACCCCGUAACUUCGGGAGAAGGGGUGCUCUGUUAGGGUGCAAGCCCGAGAGAGCCGCAGUGAAUAGGCCCAGGCGACUGUUUAGCAAAAACACAGGUCUCUGCGAAGCCGUAAGGCGAAGUAUAGGGGCUGACGCCUGCCCGGUGCUGGAAGGUUAAGAGGAGCGCUUAGCGUAAGCGAAGGUGCGAAUUGAAGCCCCAGUAAACGGCGGCCGUAACAAUAACGGUCCUAAGGUAGCGAAAUUCCUUGUCGGGUAAGUUCCGACCCGCACGAAAGGCGCAACGAUCUGGGCACUGUCUCAACGAGAGACUCGGUGAGAUUAUAGUACCUGUGAAGAUGCAGGUUACCCGCGACAGGACGGAAAGACCCCGUGGAGCUUUACUGCAGCCUGAUAUUGAAUGUUGGUACAGCUUGUACAGGAUAGGUAGGAGCCUUGGAAACCGGAGCGCCAGCUUCGGUGGAGGCAUCGGUGGGAUACUACCCUGGCUGUAUUGACCUUCUAACCCGCCGCCCUUAUCGGGCGGGGAGACAGUGUCAGGUGGGCAGUUUGACUGGGGCGGUCGCCUCCUAAAAGGUAACGGAGGCGCCCAAAGGUUCCCUCAGAAUGGUUGGAAAUCAUUCGCAGAGUGUAAAGGCACAAGGGAGCUUGACUGCGAGACCUACAAGUCGAGCAGGGACGAAAGUCGGGCUUAGUGAUCCGGUGGUUCCGCAUGGAAGGGCCAUCGCUCAACGGAUAAAAGCUACCCCGGGGAUAACAGGCUUAUCUCCCCCAAGAGUCCACAUCGACGGGGAGGUUUGGCACCUCGAUGUCGGCUCAUCGCAUCCUGGGGCUGUAGUCGGUCCCAAGGGUUGGGCUGUUCGCCCAUUAAAGCGGUACGCGAGCUGGGUUCAGAACGUCGUGAGACAGUUCGGUCCCUAUCCGUCGCGGGCGCAGGAAAUUUGAGAGGAGCUGUCCUUAGUACGAGAGGACCGGGAUGGACGCACCGCUGGUGUACCAGUUGUUCUGCCAAGGGCAUCGCUGGGUAGCUAUGUGCGGACGGGAUAAGUGCUGAAAGCAUCUAAGCAUGAAGCCCCCCUCAAGAUGAGAUUUCCCAUUCCGCAAGGAAGUAAGAUCCCUGAAAGAUGAUCAGGUUGAUAGGUCUGAGGUGGAAGUGUGGCGACACAUGGAGCUGACAGAUACUAAUCGAUCGAGGACUUAACC
rnacentral:rRNA from 1 species